rnacentral:rRNA from 1 species
UACGUAGGAUGCAAGCGUUGUCCGGAGUUAUUGGGCGUAAAGCGCACGUAGGCGGUGCGGUAAGUGUGAUGUGAAAUCUGCGGGCUUAACCCGCAGCGGUCGCUGCAGACUGCCGUGCUUGAGGGCUGGAGAGGAAGAUAGAAUUCCCGGUGUAGUGGUGAAAUGCGUAGAUAUCGGGAGGAAUACCAGUGGCGAAGGCGGUCUUCUGGCCAGUUCCUGACGCUGAGGUGCGAAAGCUAGGGGAGCGAACGGG